GGAAUUGUAGCUCAGUGGUAGAGCACUUGCCUCCUACGUGUGAGGCACUGAGUUCGAUUCCCAGCACCA
rnacentral:tRNA from 1 species